rnacentral:rRNA from 1 species
UACGAAGGGGGCUAGCGUUGCUCGGAAUCACUGGGCGUAAAGCGCACGUAGGCGGAUUGCUAAGUCAGGGGUGAAAUCCUGGAGCUCAACUCCAGAACUGCCCUUGAUACUGGAGAGCUUGAGUUCGGGAGAGGUGAGUGGAACUGCGAGUGUAGAGGUGAAAUUCGUAGAUAUUCGCAAGAACACCAGUGGCGAAGGCGGCUCACUGGCCCGAUACUGACGCUGAGGUGCGAAAGCGUGGGGAGCAAACAGGG